GAGUUUGAUCAUGGCUCAGGAUGAACGCUGGCGGCGUGCUUAACACAUGCAAGUCGAACGGAGUACCCUUGGAGGAGUUUUCGGACAACUGAUAGGACUACUUAGUGGCGGACGGGUGAGUAACGCGUGAGUAACCUGCCUUGGAGUGGGGAAUAACAGCUGGAAACAGCUGCUAAUACCGCAUGAUGCAGUUGGGUCGCAUGGCUCUGACUGCCAAAAGAUUUAUCGCUCUGAGAUGGACUCGCGUCUGAUUAGCUAGUUGGCAGGGUAACGGCCUACCAAAGCGACGAUCAGUAGCCGGCCUGAGAGGUGGACGGCCACAUUGGGGCUGAGACACGGCCCAAACUCCUACGGGAGGCAGCAGUGGGGGAUAUUGCACAAUGGGGAAACCCUGAUGCAGCGACGCCGCGUGAGUGAAGAAGCAUUCGGUGUGUAAAGCUCUAUCAGCAGGGAAG
rnacentral:rRNA from 1 species